GACGAACGCUGGCGGCGUGCUUAACACAUGCAAGUCGAGCGGUAAGGCCCUUUCGGGGGUACGCGAGUGGCGAACGGGUGAGUAACACGUGGGUGACCUGCCCUCAGCUCUGGGAUAAGCCUGGGAAACCGGGUCUAAUACCGGAUAUGACUCCAUGACGCAUGUUGUGGGGUGGAAAGCCUUGUGCGGCUGAGGAUGGGCCCGCGGCCUAUCAGCUUGUUGGUGGGGUGAUGGCCUACCAAGGCGACGACGGGUAGCCGGCCUGAGAGGGCGACCGGCCACACUGGGACUGAGACACGGCCCAGACUCCUACGGGAGGCAGCAGUGGGGAAUCUUGCGCAAUGGGCGAAAGCCUGACGCAGCGACGCCGCGUGAGGGAUGACGGCCU
rnacentral:rRNA from 1 species